rnacentral:tRNA from 1 species
GCUAACUGAAGCAUUUUGCAUUGGUUUUGUAAACCAAAAUAAGAAAAAUUUUCCUUUAGCU